rnacentral:rRNA from 1 species
GACGAACGCUGGCGGCGUGCUUAACACAUGCAAGUCGAACGGUAAGGCCCUGCUUUUGUUGGGUGCUCGAGUGGCGAACGGGUGAGUAACACGUGAGUAACCUGCCCUUUACUUUGGGAUAACUUCAGGAAACUGUGGCUAAUACCGGAUAGGAGCUCCUGCUGCAUGGUGUGUGUUGGAAAGUUUCGGCGGUUGGGCUUGGACUCGCGGCUUCUCAGCUUUUUGGUGUGGUAGUGGCUUCCAAAGGCUUUGACGGGUAGCCGGACUGAGAGUGUGACAGGCCACAGAGGGACUGAGAAACGGGCAAGACGGAUACGGGAGGAAGCGGUGGGGAACAGUGCAAAAAGGGCGGAAGGCUGAUGCAGCAACGCCGCGUGCGAGAUGACGGCCUUAAGGUUGGAACCCGCGUUCGCCUGUAAAGAAGCGUGAGUGACGGUAAUGGGUAAAGAAGCAACGGCUAACUACGUG